rnacentral:rRNA from 1 species
UAAUUUAUAUAAAAUAUUUUGACGAAUAUUUAUAUAAUAUUAACAUAAUUCAUAUUACUAUAUAUUUUAGUAUAUGAAAUUUUACUUUGAGAAAAUUAGAGUGCUUAAAGCAGGCAUAUGCCUUGAAUACUCCAGCAUGGAAUAAUAUUAAAGAUUUUUAUCUUUCUUAUUGGUUCUAAGAUAAGAAUAAUGAUUAAUAGGGACAGUUGGGGGCAUUUGUAUUUAACAGUCAGAGGUGAAAUUCUUAGAUUUGUUAAAGACAAACUAAUGCGAAAGCAUUUGCCAAGGAUGUUUUCAUUAAUCAAGAACGAAAGUUAGGGGAUCGAAGACGAUCAGAUACCGUCGUAGUCUUAACCAUAAACUAUGCCAACUAGAGAUUGGGAGG